rnacentral:tRNA from 1 species
GCGGACGUAGUUCAAUGGUAGAACACAAGCUUCCCAAGCUUGGAGCGUGGGUCCGAUUCCCAUCGUCCGCUCCA